GGGUGAAAGAGGGCGGGUUUGGGUCGGGCGCUGAGAGGAAUUCCUCGCUCUGAGGGCGGUGAGGCGCUGGCACAGGGUGCCCAGAGAAGCUGUGGCUGCCCCAUCCCUGGGGGUGUUCAAGGCCAGGCUGGAUGGGGCUUUGGGCAGCCUGGUCUGUGGGAGGUACAUUGCAGAUUUGUG